ensembl:snRNA U2 U2 spliceosomal RNA
AAAACUUUUUCGAAAGAAAAAUCUGUUCUUAUCAGUUUAAUAUCUGAUACGUCCCCCAUCCGGGGACUACAUAUUAAAUGGAUUUUUAGAUCACGGAGCUGGAGCCGGGGCUUGCUCCGUCCACUCCAUGCAUCGGCCUGGUAUUGCAGUGUCUCCAGGAACGGUGUGCUUUCC